rnacentral:rRNA from 1 species
GAUGAACGCUGGCGGCGUGCCUAAUACAUGCAAGUCGAGCGAACAGACGAGGAGCUUGCUCCUCUGACGUUAGCGGCGGACGGGUGAGUAACACGUGGAUAACCUACCUAUAAGACUGGGAUAACUUCGGGAAACCGGAGCUAAUACCGGAUAAUAUAUUGAACCGCAUGGUUCAAUAGUGAAAGACGGUUUUGCUGUCACUUAUAGAUGGAUCCGCGCCGCAUUAGCUAGUUGGUAAGGUAACGGCUUACCAAGGCAACGAUGCGUAGCCGACCUGAGAGGGUGACCGGCCACACUGGAACUGAGACACGGUCCAGACUCCUACGGGAGGCAGCAGUAGGGAAUCUUCCGCAAUGGGCGAAAGCCUGACGGAGCAACGCGGCGUGAGUGAUGAAGGUCUUCGGAUCGUAAAACUCUGUUAUUAGGGAAGAACAAAUGUGUAAGUAACUAUGCACGUCUUGACGGUACCUAAUCAGAAAGCCACGGCUAACUACGUG